rnacentral:rRNA from 1 species
ACCUGCGGAGGGAUCAUUACCGAGUUUACAACUCCCAAACCCCUGUGAACAUACCACUUGUUGCCUCGGCGGAUCAGCCCGCUCCCGGUAAAACGGGACGGCCCGCCAGAGGACCCCUAAACUCUGUUUCUAUAUGUAACUUCUGAGUAAAACCAUAAAUAAAUCAAAACUUUCAACAACGGAUCUCUUGGUUCUGGCAUCGAUGAAGAACGCAGCAAAAUGCGAUAAGUAAUGUGAAUUGCAGAAUUCAGUGAAUCAUCGAAUCUUUGAACGCACAUUGCGCCCGCCAGUAUUCUGGCGGGCAUGCCUGUUCGAGCGUCAUUUCAACCCUCAAGCACAGCUUGGUGUUGGGACUCGCGUUAAUUCGCGUUCCUCAAAUUGAUUGGCGGUCACGUCGAGCUUCCAUAGCGUAGUAGUAAAACCCUCGUUACUGGUAAUCGUCGCGGCCACGCCGUUAAACCCCAACUUCUGAAUGUGACCUCG